rnacentral:rRNA from 1 species
AUGGACCCUUCCAUCCCUUAUUCCCGUGGCUAUGCAUCAGAGUUGGAUGACGAAGGUCCUGGUGAAGAAGUAGACGAGGAGGGGUUCACGGUCAAGGAGGCCGAAGCUUUCAAGAAGGCAUUCCGGCGGGAUCAUCGGACACCAUUGUUCAAGGAUGCUAGCCUCGUGGGUGAAGUGGUGGUCGACGGUGGCAAAGGUAUAUUUCUUGGAGUUUGGCCAAUUUCUCACCGUACUUGGAGCACGGCAAGAACGGGAUUUUUCCCGGGUCUAAGUUUCAAACCUUCUUGGAAUUGA